GUAGGUCCCGAGCGUUGUCCGGAUUUAUUGGGCGUAAAGCGAGCGCAGGCGGUUUGAUAAGUCUGAAGUUAAAGGCUGUGGCUCAACCAUAGUUCGCUUUGGAAACAGUCAAACAUGAGUGCAGAAGGGGAGAGUGGAAUUCCAUGUGUAGCGGUGAAAUGCGUAGAUAUAUGGAGGAACACCGGUGGCGAAAGCGGCUCUCUGGUCUGUAACUGACGCUGAGGCUCGAAAGCGUGGGGAGCGAACAGGAUUAGAUACCCUGGUAGUCCACGCCGUAAACGAUGAGUGCUAGGUGUUGGAUCCUUUCCGGGAUCCAGUGCCGAAGCUAACGCAUUAAGCACUCCGCCUGGGGAGUACGACCGCAAGGUUG
rnacentral:rRNA from 1 species